rnacentral:other from 1 species
UUGACCCUGCUUGUGCAAGUGAUGCCGCAUAAAAGUUUUGUACCAACACGUACUUAAAGGGUUCCACUCUUUCAGAACUAACGCGAUAGGCCCGAGCCAAGGCGAGACUUCUGUCGAAGAACCCACCUGUGAAAGCAGGUUCAAAACAUAGCAGCACACGGCAUGAGCGGGGUUACC